UACGGGGGGGGGCAAGCGUUGUUCGGAAUUACUGGGCGUAAAGGGCUCGUAGGCGGCCAACUAAGUCAGACGUGAAAUCCCUCGGCUUAACCGGGGGAACUGCAUCUGAUACUGGAUGGCUUGAGUUCGGGAGAGGGAUGCGGAAUUCCAGGUGUAGCGGUGAAAUGCGUAGAUAUCGGGAGGAACACCAGUGGCGAAGGCGACUUCCUGGCCUGUUCUUGACGCUGAGGCGCGAAAGCUAGGGGAGCAAACGGG
rnacentral:rRNA from 1 species